GUGGGGAAUAUUGGACAAUGGGCGAAAGCCUGAUCCAGCCAUGCCGCGUGUGUGAAGAAGGUCUUCGGAUUGUAAAGCACUUUAAGUUGGGAGGAAGGGCAGUAAGUUAAUACCUUGCUGUUUUGACGUUACCGACAGAAUAAGCACCGGCUAACUUCGUGCCAGCAGCCGCGGUAAUACGAAGGGUGCAAGCGUUAAUCGGAAUUACUGGGCGUAAAGCGAGCGUAGGUGGUUUUGUAAGUUGGAGGUGAAAUCCCCGGGCUCAACCUGGGAACUGCCUCCAAAACUGCAUGACUAGAGUACGGUAGAGGGUAGUGGAAUUUCCUGUGUAGCGGUGAAAUGCGUAGAUAUAGGAAGGAACACCAGUGGCGAAGGCGACUACCUGGACUGAUACUGACACUGAGGUGCGAAAGCGUGGGGAGCAAACAGGAUUAGAAACCCCGGUAGUCC
rnacentral:rRNA from 1 species